rnacentral:rRNA from 1 species
AUUGAACGCUGGCGGCAGGCCUAACACAUGCAAGUCGAGCGGAAGAAGGGAGCUUGCUCCUGGAUUCAGCGGCGGACGGGUGAGUAAUGCCUAGGAAUCUGCCUGGUAGUGGGGGAUAACGUCCGGAAACGGGCGCUAAUACUGCAUACGUCCUGAGGGAGAAAGUGGGGGAUCUUCGGACCUCACGCUAUCAGAUGAGCCUAGGGCGGAUUAGCUAGUUGGUGGGGUAAAGGCCUACUAAGGCGACGAUCCGCAACUGGUCUGAGAGGAGGAUCAGUCACAAGGGAGCUGAGACACGGGCCAGACUCCGACGUGAGGCAGCAGGUGGGAAUAUUGGAAAAUGGGCGAAAGCCUGAUCCAGCCAGGCCGCGUGGGUGAAGAAGGGCUGCGGAUUGUAAAGCACUUUAAGUUGGGAGGAAGGGCAGUAAGUUAAUACCUGGCUGUUUUGACGUUACCAACAGAAUAAGCACCGGCUAACUUCGG